rnacentral:rRNA from 1 species
CAGUAGCCGCGGGAAAACGGGGGGGGCAAGUGUUAUUCGGAAUGACUGGGCGUAAAGGGCACGUAGGCGGUGAAAAGGGUGGAAAGUGAAAGUCGCCAAAACACUGGCGGGGUGCUUUCUUGACCAUUUCACUUGAGUGAGAUAGGGGAGAGUGGAAUUUCGUGUGGAGGGAUCAAAUCCUAAGAUAUACGAAGGAACGCCAACCGCGAAGGCAGCUCUCUGGGUCCCCACUGACGCUGGGGUGCGAAAGCAUGGGGAGCAAACAGGAUCAGAUACCCCGGUAGUCCCUGUCUCUUAUACA